AGUACAGGCUUUGGUCCACAGAGACAACAAUACUUUCAAUACUCUUUUGUUCUGCCCCAGAGGAGCUCAACACAGAAUUGCCUAGAACAAGAAACUGGUGAGAGAAGCUGCAGCCUGUUGAGACUCCACAAGACUGAAGAUAUGAAAAGAGGAAAUAUGCAUGAAUGCCCGCACGGAGAACCACCCCCACCUGCUGCUCCCGCUCUAAUGAUCACGCCCAUUAUCAACUGGGGGAUGGCUCUGUGCCUUGUCCUUGCAUUACAUGGACCAAGAACACUUCACAGGACUCAGAGAGUAACACUGAAGAAUGCAGUUUACUUACAUCUUUUUCUGUUUGACAGAAGACAGUUAUUAGUUACCCUUGGGACAUCAAAAUGACCAAGGCAGUGUCUGCUAAGUAUUUGCUGAGACUCUGCUAUGAUUCUUUCAAGUCUAAAGACAGUUAUCUGAAUGAUAUCCCCGUGACAGUGGACUCCUGCACAUUCACAGUCCUGGAAGGAGCCUGUCCACAUUGGCAUUCUGGAAGUCCAUAAAAGACAAACGCAUAUGCAGUCCCCGAGAAAGCAUUGUUGUAAACAAAUCUGCACUAGAUGGAAACUCUGUUAUGUGGUGCCGGCAUGCAUGGAAGAGAACCCGAAAGGAAGAAGCUAUACGACUGGGGACACAUGUCUUAGAAGCACACUCAUUAGAUAAAGUGUCGCAUACUCUUUGAUAAG
ensembl:lncRNA LINC01060 long intergenic non-protein coding RNA 1060